CCCCAGGUCAGGCGGGGCUACCCGCUGAGUUUAAGCAUAUCAAUAAGCGGA
rnacentral:rRNA from 1 species